CUAUCUUACGAACCAGAGAUCGAUUCAGAAGCAGCAGCAAAAGUAGCAACAAUCGCAUCAGAGGCAACGGGUAAGUGCCAUCCCAUCACCAACUUCGCGAGGUUGGAAUCGCAGCGUUAGACGUCGCCUCAUCAACAGCUGUUAAACCGAAAUGCCCGGCUGAGGAACU